CCGGGUGAAUAAUGCUUAAGAAUCUGCCCAUUAAUGGGGGACAACAUUCCGAAAGGAAUGCUAAUACCGCAUACGCCCUACGGGGGAAAGCAGGGGAUCUUCGGACCUUGCGCUAAUAGAUGAGCCUAAGUCAGAUUACCUAGUUGGUGGGGUAAAGGCCUACCAAGGCGACGAUCUGUAGCGGGUCUGAGAGGAUGAUCCGCCACACUGGGACUGAGACACGGCCCAGACUCCUACGGGAGGCAGCAGUGGGGAAUAUUGGACAAUGGGCGAAAGCCUGAUCCAGCCAUGCCGCGUGUGUGAAGAAGGCCUUUUGGUUGUAAAGCACUUUAAGCGAGGAGGAGGCUACUUGGAUUAAUACUCUAGGAUAGUGGACGUUACUCGCAGAAUAAGCACCGGCUAACUCUGUGCCAGCAGCCGCGGUAAUACAGAGGGUGCGAGCGUUAAUCGGAUUUACUGGGCGUAAAGCGUGCGUAGGCGGCUUUUUAAGUCGGAUGUGAAAUCCCUGAGCUUAACUUAGGAAUUGCAUUCGAUACUGGGAAGCUAGAGUAUGGGAGAGGAUGGUAGAAUUCCAGGUGUAGCGGUGAAAUGCGUAGAGAUCUGGAGGAAUACCGAUGGCGAAGGCAGCCAUCUGGCCUAAUACUGACGCUGAGGUACGAAAGCAUGGGGAGCAAACAGGAUUAGAUACCCUGGUAGUCCAUGCCGUAAACGAUGUCUACUAGCCGUUGGGGCCUUUGAGGCUUUAGUGGCGCAGCUAACGCGAUAAGUAGACCGCCUGGGGAGUACGGUCGCAAGACUAAAACUCAAAUGAAUUGACGGGGGCCCGCACAAGCGGUGGAGCAUGUGGUUUAAUUCGAUGCAACGCGAAGAACCUUACCUGGUCUUGACAUAGUAAGAACUUUCCAGAGAUGGAUUGGUGCCUUCGGGAACUUACAUACAGGUGCUGCAUGGCUGUCGUCAGCUCGUGUCGUGAGAUGUUGGGUUAAGUCCCGCAACGAGCGCAACCCUUUUCCUUAUUUGCCAGCGGGUUAAGCCGGGAACUUUAAGGAUACUGCCAGUGACAAACUGGAGGAAGGCGGGGACGACGUCAAGUCAUCAUGGCCCUUACGACCAGGGCUACACACGUGCUACAAUGGUCGGUACAAAGGGUUGCUACCUAGCGAUAGGAUGCUAAUCUCAAAAAGCCGAUCGUAGUCCGGAUUGGAGUCUGCAACUCGACUCCAAAAGUACCAAUAGAGUUUGAUCCCGGAUCAGUAAGUCGUAACAAGGUAACCCAUAGAGUUUGAUCCUGGCUCAGUAAGUCG
rnacentral:rRNA from 1 species